rnacentral:rRNA from 1 species
CGUAGGGUGCGAGCGUUAAUCGGAAUUACUGGGCGUAAAGCGUGCGCAGGCGGCUUUGUAAGACGGAUGUGAAAGCCCCGGGCUCAACCUGGGAAGUGCAUUCGUGACUGCAAGGCUAGAGUGUGUCAGAGGGAGGUGGAAUUCCGCGUGUAGCAGUGAAAUGCGUAGAGAUGCGGAGGAACACCGAUGGCGAAGGCAGCCUCCUGGGAUAACACUGACGCUCAGGCACGAAAGCGUGGGGAGCAA